rnacentral:rRNA from 1 species
GUGGGGAAUAUUCCGCAAUGGACGAAAGUCUGACGGAGCAACGCCGCGUGAGUGAUGAAGGUUUUCGGACUGUAAAGCUCUGUUGUUUAGGACGAAAGUGCCUGUUGCGAACAGUUACAGGUAUUGACGGUACUAAACGAGGAAGCCACGGCUAACUACGUGCCAGCAGCCGCGGUAAUACGUAGGUGGCAAGCGUUGUCCGGAAUUAUUGGGCGUAAAGAGCAUGUAGGCGGAGAUUUAAGUCUGUUGUGAAAAUGCGGGGCUCAACCCCGUAUUGCGAUGGAAACUGAAUUUCUUGAGUGCAGGAGAGGAAAGGGGAAUUCCCAGUGUAGCGGUGAAAUGCGUAGAUAUUGGGAGGAACACCAGUGGCGAAGGCGCCUUUCUGGACUGUGUCUGACGCUGAGAUGCGAAAGCCAGGGUAGCGAACGGGAUUAGAAACCCUAGUAGUCC